rnacentral:pre_miRNA from 1 species
UUGGAUGUGAAUUGAUUUAUGUUUGGAUAUGCUUAUUAAAAGUAAUUUUUAUAAGUUGACGUUGUUUGGAUAG